UAUAGUGAAGACUAUUAUUAGUAGUAUUAUAGUCAUUAUAGAUCUAUCAUCUAUGCAUCUUAGGUCUUAGUAUAAUAAGUAAUCUUGUUAUAUUAUAGACAUCUAAUUAUCUAGAUCUAAUCUAGACUCUAAUUCUAGAAUUAGAAUAGUUCAAUAGUAGAAUCUGAGUAAUCUCUAAACUAAUAGAUCUCUAGAGUCUAAUAAAGUCAAAGUAAUAUAGAUUUCAAUUAAUAGAUCUAGAUUAUUGACUUAUAAUUUUAAAUUUACAUUUAGAUCUAAGACUACGACUAAUAAGAGUUAGAUUCUACUUAAGAGUAAGAGACUAAAAUAAUUAAAUAUACUAAUAUAGACUAUUAUGACUAUACAUCUAAUAGUAGUAAUAGACUAAUACUAAUAGACUAGACGUCACUAGACUGUAACUCUAGAUCUAUCUAGUAAAAAGUUUUAAAAUAAAAAGAGUCGACAUUUCUUUUAGAUCUAUAGUAAAGCAAAAUUCUUUGCCUGCAGCUAUACAGGAACACACUGGUGUUUAAUAAAAAGCAGCAAAAUGUAGAUCUAUAGAAGCAAGGAAUUAUCAGGAUUUAUCAAGCAGCGAAACUUGCUAGAAAUAUAAUGAACACGUUUAUUUUUCUCGCCUUUCAAAUACCUUGAAUUGGCGGGAAUAGCGGCCAUUAUAGGGUAAAGAUCAAAAGGCUUUCUAGUGACCUGUGCACACUCUAGUUUAUUCUCCUGUGACGAAACGCGUCCCUUCGCAAUACAGAACUGACCGGUGCGGAACUAACCCCCCCCCCCUCUUAACCACUAGUUAGCAUUGUAUAGCCCCUUUUACACUAAACUGACCAGGGUAGAACACAAACAAUCUAUUACACCAAGGUUAGAUCCAACCCCCAAAUCAUAGGCCAUAAACACACAUCCCAAGUUAUACCCAGACGUCGAAACAAACGUACGCAGCCGUUAAGUUCAGGAACAUUAAAAUUGAAUGUUACGCCCCAAACGCCGAAACAAAAGCACGCAACCGUGAAGUCCAGGGACAUUAAAAUUUGGUGUCCACGUACAUCCCUUUGAGUCGACACUCCUAACGCCCAGGGCUAUUCAAAUCGUUUCCGUCCGCUGUACCAUCGAGCGAUGGUCCAGCCUGAUAAUUGUUGCAUGGUUCCGCUUUCAUCCUCCCUCGCCCCCCCCCCCCCCCGGGUCGCGGGUUAAAGAAGUCAGGUGAAUGAGCCCCAAAUGAAAAGAUUGGUCCAAUUUAACAAUUCUAAACUCAAAAGACUCGCUGGCCAUUGGAUCAUCACUACUCUUAACAUACCGUUCGGGAACCUAUAAAAGCCGGAGACGAAAGUUUCAGGUUAAUGCCAUUCUAGAUCAGAAUCACUGAGAAGUCAGAAGACUCUCAAGUCAACGAUUCAUUUGGGAACUUGUGUAAGGCAAAGCGGGUGAGUUGGAAAAACUUUAUCAUUAUUAUUUAGUGUGUCUUCGCCUGUAACAUUUACGUUCAUGUAUCAUUACCAUGUUAAUACUUGUUUGCUUCCAAAUAUUAUAUUUGUAAAUCUCUAUGAACAUGUGUUCCUUAAUAACUCGUCAACGUUGACUGUAUUCCCAACGGUGGACAUCCACCUUACAAUUUAGUUAAUCCUAAUAUUUAUUUAUGAAUUUGUUAUUUAUUCAUAUCCAUAUUCAUCUGGACCUACUCGCGUCUAGAUCAUUUCUUACCUGUGCACAUGUACCUGUAUAUGUGCACAUAUAUAUACAUUAUGAUUAUGCUUGUUUUGGUUAUGCACAUACUGUGCUGUUACCAUGCAUCCUUAGGCCCGAGAAUCAGUCUCGCAUGCCUACCCCACUAUUUUCGGCCUGUAUAAUUAUGUGCCCUUUUCUACCCCCCCCCCCCCUUUUCUUCUUGUCACAGUCCUCUGGUCACGAGUGACCGCGGACUUGUUUACCUGUGGGUCAAUGAGGUCACAGGGGCUACAACCCUGUAAUAUGGUCUCCCUGCUUCCCUCCUCAUUUAUGCCCCUGCCUUGUACAUUAAUAUGUGUAUUCGUGAUAUUGUUAUUAUAUCAUUUGUAUAGCAAUUAUUACCAGACUUAGGGAAUUGUCGUUAACAUGUAUCUUAGUUAGUCUGAGGGAGACGCUCCUAUCAAGGAUGCGCCCCUCGCCAACCAGCCUGUAUGGUUUAAUAAUUCAGGCUCCUCUCAUGUCUCGUUUCAUAGCCUCCUACACCAGGGCUGGCGUGUUUUGUUGCCUGAAGGCAGACCUCAGCAGCUCUCCACACAUUCCCGUUGAGGGUGAGUCACUCAUCACCCUCAAACCGAACCGAAGGCAUUCCAGGCUGACGUCCCAGGACCGGUCUGCAACUACCGCAGGAGUAAGCCCACCGCGUGGCAUCCUCAUAUUCAUCACAUUAGCGCCUGCCUACCUGCAGGGCACCAGCAACUGGCUACAACACAACGGAGCUUCAACUUAUCCAACCCCGAAGGAGAACCUUGCAUAACAGAUAAGUGAGAGACAGCCGAAUAAGCAAACCAUACACGAAUCUUUAUGAGCAACAUCCCAGUGAUGAUAUUAUCUUAAACGUCAUCAUAAAAUCCUAAAUCAUUCUGUACAUCCCCCCCCCCCACUCACUGAGUGUAUUUCUUCUUAAUUUAUCUUUAUUAAAUACUUGUUCUUCCACAAAACCAAUAAGCUUUGCGUUUUGCUUGUGCCUAUCUAUGUGCCUAUAUAACAUCAACCAAAUAUUUACCACGUUGUGGCUCUAAGACUUUACCCCUAGGAGUCGCAGGCCAUCGUCCCCAUCGGGAAGUACAAACGGACCGAUCGGCGGACUUAUUCCACCACAACGGGGGUAAACUGUGACGCCUCGUCCGGGAUCACAAAACCCUAACUCAUUCAGCAUAGGCACAAGGCAAUAAGCAGAACGUUUAAAAAUUUCCACCCACUAGACCCUAUAUAUAUAUAUAUAUAUAUAUAUUAAUAUCAUAGAACUACAUAUUGCUCAGUAUGGUUUGAUUAUGUCAAUGCUGUAUAGUAUAUUAUAUUAAUUAUAUACUUGUUGUAUCAUAUUUAGAUAAUAACACAGGUGAAGACAUAAUUAAAUAAAUAUUCAGUUAGCCUCUCACCCGCUUCAGCUUCUAGCAUAUUUCCCCAUCACCUCUAUCCCACAAAAAUGGCUGAAGGCACUAGAUCAAAAGCCGAAUCAGCUAAAUCUAUAAAAAUUCGCGAGCUCAACGAGUUGGCAGACCAAAUAGGCAUCAGGCCUGAAGACAGGCCAACAUUCAUCCUAGCUAAAUUCGAGGAGUGGGAAAAAGUUGAGAGGGAAAAAGAGAAAGAAGCUCACGCAUUCCGUAUGAAAGAAAAGGAAAUAGAGUUAGAAAAAUUAAAAGCUAACGACGAAUCGCGCACAACAAAUGCUGCCGAUCAAAACUCCCCUAACUGUCAAACCCCUCACUUCAACUUAGAACCUUUCGAUGAAACCAAAGAAAGUAUAGAGACUUUCUUAGAAAGGUUUCAAAACGUGGCUACCAACAACCAGCUACCAGUUGGCAAAUGGCCAUUUAGAGUGUCACAAGCUCUUCGGGGUAAGGCCUACGAGGUGUAUGCUAAGCUCCCCUCAUCCAGUCAAAACGACUACUCAGCGCUCAAGAACGCACUGCUAGUCCAGUUCGACUUGACCGCCAGCUCCUACCACAAGAAAUUUAGGAACUCUCGCCUCGAAAGGCGCGAGAUGUAUUCCAGUCUCUUUACUAGACUAGAGAAAUACUUAGAUAAAUGGUUAUCCUUAAGUCCCUUCACUCAAAAUUAUGAAGGCCUAAAAGAACUUAUUCUGGUAGAACAGCUCCGCGAAUGUAUGGCCCCUGACCUUCGCAUCUUCAUAGAUGAAAGCGGUGUCACAACACCACAAGAAAUAGUCAGUUACUCUGUUAGAUUUCUAGCAGCCCACAGGGAGCAGAAAACUAAAACAUCAGACCAAAGCCCAUCGAUAGCGAAGGUAGAUAAGCAGCCCGACCCUCCAAGUAGCAGCAAUAACAAUAACAACAAACAAACACGCCAGCCCAACAACCAAGCACCCCGCCUCCCCAUUCCUCCCAACCCGCCGAGGCAGCAAAAGAAGUGGUGCAGCUUCCAUAACUCUCCUACCCAUGACUCCAGCGAGUGUCAUAAUAGAAGUCGCCCUUACUCAGCCCAACCACUGAUGGUGAUAACACAAGCAACUCCCAUCCUAAACCCAUCACCGAGUAACCAUCCCCCUACAGUCGAAAAAGUAUUAGUGAACGGAAUAUCCUCUAAUUGCCUAUACGAUUCCGGGUGUUCCUUUUCGGCAAUCGUCAGGAAAUCAUUGGUAAAGCCCCGCUACAUUAGCAACAAAUGGGUCACCAUACAAGGCGCAGACUUGAACUCUCCCCCAUUCACCCUUCCGAUCGCCCGAAUAAAGGUGAGAUCUAGAUAUGUCAACGGUAGGAUAGAGGCGGCCGUCAUGGACAAUCCAUGCUUUGACCUAACGCUUGGUGACAAAUACGUGUUCCUGGGAACUCCUACAGACCCGAGGUUCACUACCCCAGGGAUCACUCCGGUGAACCCCAAUGCAACUAACCCCUCGGUCCCUGAAACGGACCACAUCAGCGCAUUCCCUGUGAUUACUGGAGCCCAGGCUCCACAGGAUGGCGCAAGGGAAACCCUUAACUCUCUCCGCAGAGGAUACAAGGAAUCCCCACGAAGCUAUUUAUCGUCUGCAAAGAUUCUCGUUCCCGUGAAAAGGGAUAAGUCGAAAAUCCAUUGGCGCCCAAUAGCUCGCAAACCGGGCCUCCCACAGCACCAUUCGGGCGGGGAGGGAGGCGCACGAAGCCACGCGGCCCAGUCCCAGCGCUCCGGCCCUCAAACCCAGCAAACUGGCCAACCCAACUCCCAGGACUCUAAACAGAGCCGAGGAGUAAAGGCCGAGAAACCCAUCAGCGGUUCUAUCACGAAGAACGCUGACUCUAGCUGCGUGCCUGUUGUAACGCAGGUCGCCAAUCUCAAAGCUAUCGCCAUCGAACGAGGCACCCACUCUGCCAGCGCACCUAUCAACGCACAGGGCUCUGGCACUGCCACUACCAUCCUUCCGCAGGACACUGGCAUCGACAGCGUAAUGGACAUCGCAUCCAGCGCCACAAUGAUUGCACCUGAUAUAGUGCGAGGCAUCAAACCCCUUGGUGCCGCCUUCAACUCACGGUCCACCGCGACCCACCCCAGGCCACUCAUCACGAGAAGCGCCUGUACAAACAGUUAUGAGACAAGACAAUGUCUCCCCCUCGAGCCGCCUGGUAAGGCAUCUCUGUUCCCCACUUUACACAUUUCUGCACCCCUCCUCAACGCCGAGGGCCUAAAACCGCAUCCGCCCUUAAGCCACAUAGAUGAGCUACCCUCUAACUACGCUGAGGUCAUUCUAAGUGAAAGCGACCCGCCACCCAGCCGACUAUCCAACUUGCAAGUUAGCUCGGCUAAUAAACGAGAAGACUGCAAAAUCUGUCUAAAGUUUCUAUGUGUAGUAGUCUUGUGGAUGUUUCUUGCACAUCACUAUGGUUCAAACCCUAAAGCAUCACAAGGGCCCUCACACGAUGGUUCAACUCUCCAUGUGCCUCCCAGACUAGUACUGGUGGCAACACUCAUGCUCAUUGCAUUCUUGCUAGGCUAUCUGUCUGCUAGAAUAAGCUGGCCACACUUUUGCAGCAGGCGUAAGGUAUUUCUCACCACGCCUAAAUUCUCGAAGGGCCUUCAGCAGUUUCAACACAACGAAAACAAACCGAAUGCCCAGUCCCGGCUACUACUAUUUAGCCACUCUCCUGCCCGUAAUGGCAGUCACAAAGAGGGAGUAACUCCCGCCUUCCUUGAUUGGUGCACAAUCGCGUCUGCCAAUAAAUCAGCCCUAGAUCCUGUAGUGGAGUUUGUUAUCCACCAUAGCGUCCCAGCUCACGCUGGACCCGAUGACGUUAUCAGCGAAUGCACGCUCCUACGUAGGGGCCCCGCUUGUCCCUCUAUCAUCUAGGCAACCUCUCACAGGUCAGUUCAGAAUUUCGAAUUUAAUAAUGCCUUUACAAUGCAUUAUCUUUGGCGGAGGGGUGUGUGACGAAACGCGUCCCUUCGCAAUACAGAACUGACCAGUGCGGAACUAACCCCCCCCCCCCCCCCUCUUAACCACUAGUUAGCAUUGUAUAGCCCCUUUUACACUAAACUGACCAGGGUAGAACACAAACAAUCUAUUACACCAAGGUUAGAUCCAACCCCCAAAUCAUAGGCCAUAAACACACAUCCCAAGUUAUACCCAGACGUCGAAACAAACGUACGCAGCCGUUAAGUUCAGGAACAUUAAAAUUGAAUGUUACGCCCCAAACGCCGAAACAAAAGCACGCAACCGUGAAGUCCAGGGACAUUAAAAUUUGGUGUCCACGUACAUCCCUUUGAGUCGACACUCCUAACGCCCAGGGCUAUUCAAAUCGUUUCCGUCCGCUGUACCAUCGAGCGAUGGUCCAGCCUGAUAAUUGUUGCAUGGUUCCGCUUUCAUCCUCCCUCGCCCCCCCCCCCGGGUCGCGGGUUAAAGAAGUCAGGUGAAUGAGCCCCAAAUGAAAAGAUUGGUCCAAUUUAACAAUUCUAAACUCAAAAGACUCGCUGGCCAUUGGAUCAUCACUACUCUUAACAUACCGUUCGGGAACCUAUAAAAGCCGGAGACGAAAGUUUCAGGUUAAUGCCAUUCUAGAUCAGAAUCACUGAGAAGUCAGAAGACUCUCAAGUCAACGAUUCAUUUGGGAACUUGUGUAAGGCAAAGCGGCCUCCUACACCAGGGCUGGCGUGUUUUGUUGCCUGAAGGCAGACCUCAGCAGCUCUCCACACAUUCCCGUUGAGGGUGAGUCACUCAUCACCCUCAAACCGAACCGAAGGCAUUCCAGGCUGACGUCCCAGGACCGGUCUGCAACUACCGCAGGAGUAAGCCCACCGCGUGGCAUCCUCAUAUUCAUCACAUUAGCGCCUGCCUACCUGCAGGGCACCAGCAACUGGCUACAACACAACGGAGCUUCAACUUAUCCAACCCCGAAGGAGAACCUUGCAUAACAGAUAAGUGAGAGACAGCCGAAUAAGCAAACCAUACACGAAUCUUUAUGAGCAACAUCCCAGUGAUGAUAUUAUCUUAAACGUCAUCAUAAAAUCCUAAAUCAUUCUGUACAUCCCCCCCCCCACUCACUGAGUGUAUUUCUUCUUAAUUUAUCUUUAUUAAAUACUUGUUCUUCCACAAAACCAAUAAGCUUUGCGUUUUGCUUGUGCCUAUCUAUGUGCCUAUAUAACAUCAACCAAAUAUUUACCACGUUGUGGCUCUAAGACUUUACCCCUAGGAGUCGCAGGCCAUCGUCCCCAUCGGGAAGUACAAACGGACCGAUCGGCGGACUUAUUCCACCACAUCUCCUCUCUAUUAUUCAUUAUAUAUAUUCUCCAAAUUACAUAGAUCUAAAUAUUUAUUGGUAUGUAUGUUAAAAAAGUUUGUAAUUAAACUUUUUAGUUAGUAACUAAAAAAAAAAAUUAAACUAAGAUUUUAACUAAACUUUUUUUUUUAAUUUAAACUUUGGCCUUAACUAAUUUUUUUUAGUUAAACUAAAAGUUAGCAGCUUUUUAGUUAACUUUCGCCCAUCACUAGUCACUGAUGACGGCCUCUUCGUGGAACGGCGUGGAGGACUUUUUGGACUGGGGUGCGGCUUAUUUGUUCCAUCCCUACCCUGAGUGAGAUUGUUUUUUAAUGUAACAUGCAUUAGUUAUUAAGAGAAAAACAAUCGCUUUAUAAGUUGUAUAAAGGAAGCAUUGUCUUUUUAAAAAAGGUAUUUUAAUUCGAUUUUUUCAUAAAAAUGCACCAAUUCUAGAACAAUUACGUAAAUGUAAGGGAGGCAAUGUUACAAUAUGUUAACAAAGAAAGACCAUUUUUUUGUGUAUUUUCAGUAUCACUAAGUCAAAUAAAUGUAAUAAAUGUAUUGAAAAUGUUCUAAACAAAUAUAAAUAUUAGUUAAAGGUGUUAUUUCUGGUCAGCUAGCUGCUAAAAUUAAAAGAAAACAUUUAUGUUUGUUUAUAAAGGCUAAUAAUGCGCUUUGUACCUAAAUAUCACGCACAUUUUUAAAUGGACUUUUUAUCCAGCGACUUUCGUGCAGUAGCGAAAUACUGUGGUCUAUAGAGAACAAACACUAAUUCCUUAAAAAAUUUCAAUUAAAUUUUUUUUUUGUUGUUUAAUGUUCCCAUCAGAAUAAAAGAGGCUUAUUUUUUGUGCGUUUUGUCGGUCGGUCGGUCUGUUCGUCACGGAUAAAAAAAAAUAUAAAAGAAAAAAAAAAAAAAUUAUAAGCUAUUGAAAAUCUGAUUUACCCUUUAAUAUUCCUCCCGUAACAUCUUAAUAGUUUUAAGUAUCUAUGAUUGAUUGAUUGUUCCGAAUGUUUUGUGAAAAACUAAUCAAUGCUAACGAAUGUUUGUUUGCUCUUCUAACCUAUAUUACAUUUAAUUUCCAUGCUUAAACGUUGCAAAAACACAUUAUCAAUAUUAUGUUGUUCCGUUUUUUUUUUGUAAAUAGCAUAUAAAUGCUAAAUCAAAUCUCUAUAUUGACUGUAAAAUUAACUGUAAACAUGUUCCGGAUAUUGUUUUAUAAAAAAAAUGAAUUAUGUCAAAUGAUUUUUUAAAAUCGCAUAAUUGACUAAUAUUACACUUAUAUUCUUUGACGAUAAGUUACUAUAGUUUAUUAUCGAUAUCAAAUUGUUCCGUACUUUCAUCUUUAAACAAAUGUUUAAAAUAUCGAUAAUAGGAUUUUAAAAAAGAAAGUAAUUUACUAGAAACGAUUAUUGAAAAUCACUUUUUAGACUUAUUUUACAUUGAAUUUUCUUGCUGAAACAUAGCAAAAGCUUUUUAAUCGAUAAAGAAUCUUCUGGAUUUUCUUUUGAAAAGAAAUCGACCUACAUUACUUACAUUUUCUUACAAAUAGUCCGAAAUUUCCGAAUUUUAUAUGAAAAAUCUACUAACGCCAAAUAACUGUUGGAAAUCCCUCUUCUAAUUAUUAAACCAAAAAAUCUUCGCAUUUACGAAAAAAAUGUUGUUCUGGAUUUUUUACAAAAAAUAUUUUAACUCUAUUUUUAUGUAAAAUAUCACUUCUCUCUUGAAGUCAGAAGUUUUGUUUAGGUAGAUCUACUUCCUCAUUCUGGUUCUAUUUAAAUGAAAAUGCCAAUAGCUCUGUUGUUCAUCAUCAUCAUCAUCAAACUCCAUUUGAGUGAGGUCUUGAGAUGCUUAAAUCUUCUCUUGCAAAAGCCCUGGACAGAAACCCUGCUGUCUUGCUUAGUGCAUACACGUCACCAUACAGGUCGAGAAUUUUUGGUUUCCCAGACCUGUCAAGACGGAGAUCAGCAAGUCUGGGGCAAUCAAACAGAAUAUGAGGCACUGUUUCCUCUUCUUCCUCGCAGCGGGGGCACCGUGAAUGGAAAUCUGGCCAUAACCGUGAGAAAUAUGAACCUACAAGACAGUGGUCUGUCCUGCAUUGUGCUAUAAUAGCUUGCUCAGGCCUGGACAGCCCCCACCACGGGGAAGUGCGGUCAGGGCGCGUCAUGCGCUCCCAGACUCCACAGGCUUUUUGGGAAUUGUCCCAGCACUCAAACCACUUUUCCAUUUGUUUUUUUUUAUUAUAGCCAGAGCAUGAUGAAAACUUACAGCCUGUUCAGUUGGUGGAAUUCGCCCUCCCUGGUGGGCCAAGGAAUCUGCAAUAGUGUUGCCAGUCACACCUAUGUGACUCGGUGCCCACUGCAUUAUUACAGGGGUGGCAUAGUGCUGCUUUAUGUUGUGUGAGGCCAUGAUGACAGUGUCGA